UAAUGAUGGUGAGGGUAAUUUCUUAUUUUCCCCUUGAAUCUCUGCCAAUAUUCAUAGAGAUUUUCUCCUUCUUUCUGCCUGAAACUUAGAAUCUCGCUUCUUAAACA